UUUAACAUGCAAGAUCCUUUCAAUGGAUGGCCCAACCAUGAAGGUGCAAAGCUUGCAAACGCAGACAAGGAUCGCAGCUUCUCCUGGCAAGGAAUUAAAUGUUCUCCUGGUCUCCGGCAAAAGCUAAAAACCAUGUCUCCCAUCUUCUCUUUCCCUUCCUCCCUGAAGUUGCUGCUGGAUCAGGACUGUCACAGCCUGCAACUUCGGUAGCUGCCCCAUCUACCGCACCUUUAUCAGGACAUGGGAUUUUUAAUAACGCAAGUGCUUAUCUCUGGCUCAUCCUUUCCAAUCUCCUCCUGCAGAGAUUUCUUACCUUAAUCAGCAUGAUAUCUGCAUUCUUGGACGUGGGGCUGUAGUCGGGGUGGACUACCAUGCGAGUCGGUCGGAAAACCUGUUCGGUGCCUUCGAAAGUGGAUAGAGAAUAUUCCCCAGCGACAAU